rnacentral:rRNA from 1 species
UAGCAUCUGACCGGCCUUGAAGAGGCACUCCCUUCGGGGCAGAUGUGUAGGUGCUGCAUGGUUGUCGUCAGCUCGUGCCGUGAGGUGUCGGCUUAAGUGCCAUAACGAGCGCAACCUCAUCAUUAGUUACCAUCAGGUAAGGCUGGGGACUCUAAUGAGACUGCCAUCGUAAGAUGUGAGGAAGGUGGGGAUGACGUCAAAUCAGCACGGCCCUUACGUCCGGGGCGACACACGUGUUACAAUGGGUGGUACAAAGGGCAGCUACCUGGCGACAGGAUGCUAAUCUCGAAAACCGCUCUCAGUUCGGAUCGGAGUCUGCAACUCGACUCCGUGAAGCUGGAUUCGCUAGUAAUCGCGCGUCAGCCACGGCGCGGUGAAUACGUUCCCGGGCCUU